UACGUAGGUGGCAAACGUUGUCCGGAUUUAUUGGGUUUAAAGGGUACGUAGGCGGUCUUAUAAGUCAGUGCUGAAAUAUCCCGGCUUAACCGGGAGGGUGGCAUUGAUACUGUAGGACUUGAGUGAAGUCGAGGUAGGCGGAAUUGACGGUGUAGCGGUGAAAUGCUAGAUAUCGUCAAGAACACCAAUAGUGAAGACAGUUUACUAGACUUCAACUGACGCUGAGGCACGAAAGUGUGGGGAUCAAACAGG
rnacentral:rRNA from 1 species